UUUUUGAUCAAAAUGCUGAAAAUCGUUAUAAAUAUACUAUUGAAAUUAUAUUUGUCGUCGUUUCAGCCACGUUUAGCAGACAGUAACGUCGCUUUAAUAAUAUACAGUACUAGUCACCUACCAGUUCUUAUCGAUUUUCCAAAAUGCCUAGAGGUUGUGGAGCAAGUAGACCUCGAAAAUGCACGUCGAAAAAACCAGUUCAAAAAUGUUCCACCAAAAAAUUGACUGCUAAAAAAACGGUUCCAAAAAAGCCAGCGUCUUCGCGAUGCUGCUCAUCAGGAUGUGGAACGAAAGUUGUCAGAAAGGCACCGGCAAAAAAAUCCAAUGUAAAUUGUAGACGUGGAUGUAGAGACUGGUCAUCUUCUGAUUGCUCAUCUGACUAUUCCAGCGACUCGUCUGAUUACGAUAGCUGCACCAGCUGCUGCAGUUCAGACUAUUCCAGCGACGAUUGCUGCUGCUCUAGACGAUAAUUUUUGCCGACAUUUGGAAGAGCAGUUAGUUUCGCUGGAGAGUUUGUGAAACUGUGCGUUAUUGAGUGGAUUUCGGGCGCUGGACGUCUAAAGUUUUACAAUUGAAUAAAAAAAAAUACUUUUUAGUGUUUUGUUAAUUUUUGUACUAUUUUAUAUCACUUUCUGUGCUUUGUAUUUUUUUUAAUUUGUUCAUACUUCAUAUACAGUGUGGUUCAAAUGACGCCACUUUAGAACCUCUCUGUAUAUAAAUAACUCACAUGCAUGUUUAAUAGUGUGUAGGUUUUUGUAUGCUAUGAAACCCGUACGGAAAAUUUUUAUUUUAUAAGCGGUUUUAAUACCAUCAGUUAUCUGUCAUUAUUAUUAUUAUAGCAUUAUUAUCAUUAAA